rnacentral:tRNA from 1 species
GGGCCAGUAGCCUAGCCUGGAUAAGGCGGCGGCCUUCUAAGCCGCAGAUCGGGGGUUCAAAUCCCUCCUGGCCCA